rnacentral:tRNA from 2 species
AAGGCCUUAGUUUAAUUAAAACAUUUGAUUUGCAUUCAUAAAAUGCAAGAUAGAGUCUUGUAGGUCUUA